rfam:Pochonia chlamydosporia 170 chromosome 1, whole genome shotgun sequence.
GGCCCGCUAGUCUAGGGGUUAUGACGUUGGAUUUUGACUACGUAGUCAGCUUGCCUUCCAAAGACAUCAGUUCGAAUCUGGUGCGGGCCU